UACGGAGGGUGCAAACGUUGCUCGGAAUUAUUGGGCGUAAAGCGCACGUAGGCGGCCUGUUAUGUCCGGUGUGAAAGCCCUCGGCUUAACUGAGGAAGCGCACUGGAAACUGGCAGGCUCGAGUACAGAAGAGGGUCGCGGAAUUCCCGGUGUAGAGGUGAAAUUCGUAGAUAUCGGGAGGAACACCAGUGGCGAAGGCGGCGACCUGGGCUGAUACUGACGCUGAGGUGCGAAAGCGUGGGGAG
rnacentral:rRNA from 1 species